GGGGGCGCCAAGGUUUCGACGGGGAGCUGUAGGCUCUAAGGUGCAUGCCGAGGUUCGGUACCUCGUAAAACAGCCGAACAAUAAUAAUUGCAAACGACGAAUUAGCACUCGCUGCUUAAUUGACGGCGACGUCCCUGUAGGGUUUGCCUACGAUCUUGCAGAGGGCGACAACUUAGUAGGCUGGCCGGAUGUGACGCCUUUAAGCAUUCGGUGAGACUUAAAAGGCUCACCAAGCCCUAAGCCGGCCUGCGGGCAUUGGGUUUGGGAAAUUUAAUCGCAGGAUAAGCAUGUAGUACCUGGGGAAGAAGGCUUUUCGGACGCGGGUUCGAUUCCCGCCGCCUCCAUUU
rnacentral:tmRNA from 1 species